rnacentral:rRNA from 1 species
UUAGAGUUUGAUCCUGGCUCAGGAUGAACGCUAGCGACAGGCCUAACACAUGCAAGUCGAGGGGCAGCACAUGCGUAGCAAUACAAUGGUGGCGACCGGCGCACGGGUGAGUAACACGUGUGCAACCUACCUGUAAGAGGGGAAUAACCCGGAGAAAUUCGGAUUAAUACCGCAUAAUACUGCGAGACCGCAUGGUUUUGCAUUUAAACAUUUAUGGCUUACAGAUGGGCAUGCGUAUGAUUAGAUAGUUGGUAGGGUAACGGCCUACCAAGUCAACGAUCAUUAGGGGUUCUGAGAGGAAGGUCCCCCACACUGGUACUGAGACACGGACCAGACUCCUACGGGAGGCAGCAGUGAGGAAUAUUGGUCAAUGGGCGAGAGCCUGAACCAGCCAAGUCGCGUGAAGGAUGACUGCCCUAUGGGUUGUAAACCUCUUUUGCAGGGGAAUAAAACAAAGUACGUGUACUUAAUUGUAUGUACUCUGCGAAUAAGGAUCGGCUAACUCCGUGCCAGCAGCCGCGGUAAUACGGAGGAUCCGAGCGUUAUCCGGAUUUAUUGGGUUUAAAGGGUGCGUAGGCGGACCUUUAAGUCAGUGGUAAAAGUUUGCGGCUCAACCGUAAAAUUGCCAUUGAAACUGAAGGUCUUGAGUGUAAAUGAGGUAGGCGGAAUGUGCUGUGUAGCGGUGAAAUGCUUAGAUAUAACACAGGACACCGAUUGCGAAGGCAGCUUACUGGGAUACAACUGACGCUGAGGCACGAAAGCGUGGGGAUCAAACAGGAUUAGAUACCCUGGUAGUCCACGCAGU